AUUGAACGCUGGCGGCAUGCCUUACACAUGCAAGUCGAACGGUAACGGGCCUUCGGGUGCCGACGAGUGGCGAACGGGUGAGUAAUGCAUCGGAACGUACCUUUCAGUGGGGGAUAACGUAGCGAAAGUUACGCUGAUACCGCAUAUUCUGUGAGCAGGAAAGCAGGGGAUCGCAAGACCUUGCGCUGAUUGAGCGGCCGAUGUCAGAUUAGCUAGUUGGUGAGGUAAAGGCUCACCAAGGCGACGAUCUGUAGCGGGUCUGAGAGGAUGAUCCGCCACACUGGAACUGAGACACGGUCCAGACUCCUACGGGAGGCAGCAGUGGGGAAUUUUGGACAAUGGGGGCAACCCUGAUCCAGCCAUGCCGCGUGAGUGAAGAAGGCCUUCGGGUUGUAAAGCUCUUUCGGCCGGUAAGAAAUCGUAUGGGCUAAUACCCUGUGCGGAUGACGGUACCGGCAUAAGAAGCACCGGCUAACUACGUGCCAGCCGCCGCCGUAAAAC
rnacentral:rRNA from 1 species